GGUAAACAACGUCUUUGCGGAGCUUACAGAGAGUCAAACUCAAGUCCCCGAGCUAGGGUUCCCCCCUCGCUCCACCGCCGCCGCCGGCCCCUUCCCCUCCCCUCCCGCGCCUCCGGCGGCCGGCCGCGCGCGCCGCCCCGCGCCCUGCCUCCCUCCUCCCUCCUGGCCGCCCCCCGCGUCGCCUCCCCGAGCGAGGCGACCGGGGGCUCAUCUCCCCGCCCCCAGCGCCCCCCUCCCGUUCCCCGCCUCCCGCCGCCGCCGUCCUGCGCCACCGGGCCCUACCCGCGUGGUGUUGACGGCGGCGGCGGCCGUUCCUUCCCCGCGCGCAGUGCCACGGCUCGGGUGGUGCGUCCCGCGGCGGUGCUCCUCGGUCAGCGGUGCUUCCGGCAGCGGCGGCUGCUCCUGGCGGCGCUACUUCGGGUGGCCUAGAGGCGCUGGCGCAGCCACUUUGCGGCACGCUGACGCGAUGGAUGGUGGCGGCGCCCUCCCGGCCCAGAUCUGGGCCCUUUUGGGCCCCAUCUGGGUCUGGGCGGGCCUGUCUCGGUCGCGCUUGCGGCGGCUCCGGCAGGGCCGGUGGUGGUGCGGCUCGUGCGGGGGGUGGUGGAGUCGGCGGCACGUCUACUGCAGCUCGGCGACGGGUGCUUCACGAGCCCCUUUUGGGCUCGGCCGGGCCUCGAGGGCCUGGUACGCUCCCCUUGCCGCGUCCGGUCGGUGACCGCCGAUGGCGGUGGAGGUUGUCUCCUCCGGCGUGGUUGCUCUCGCUGCCGUUCUUCGUUCCCGGCUACUCCCUCUCGCUCUCGUCGGUCUCGCUUCGAUGACCACGGUGAGGCGGCGGUGAUGAUGGCAAGGCCGUGGUGGCGCACGUUCGUGGGUGGCUUGUCUGGUGGAGCGCGUCGGACUGUUCGGGGUUGUGGGUGUUGGCGGAUGGGAGAAAUCCGAGCCGGCUUGCCGGCACCGACGCGGUGACGCCCAUGGGCGCCAUCCUUCCUUCCUGAAGGGCGUCGGAUCUUCCCCUUCCCCACGCCCCUCCGCGUACCGGAGGAAACCCUAGGACCUGUCCGGGCAGCAGCGUCGUCAUCGUCGUGUUCCUUCCUGAAGGUGCUGCUUGGUAUGCGGAGGUUCGAGGUGCCUGGAGCGAGGUGUGGUACAUCUCCGGUGGGCGCAACGGUUUUGGGUUAUCUUCGUUUUCGUCGAUCCGAUGCUGUUGACGUUAGUUUCUCUCUUCUUUCUCUUUUGUUUCUUUUGGGCAUGCUUGUGCUGUUUGCCCCAGCAUUGAACUCUUGGUUGUAUCGGGCGGUUGCUAUAUCUAUAUAGCGGGGCGAAAGCCUUUUUCUCAAAAAGGUUUCCCAUAACUCUGCUCAAUCCCCUUAGCUUUCUUUACCCUAAAAAAAGUUACCCAUCCUGAGUCCUCACGUCGCCGCCGCAUCUGCCUGGAGAUCACCUCGAUCCUUCUCAUGGAGCAAGCUGAUCCUCUCCUCCCCUACAUGAUGACUACACCAUCAUGGAAACUUCUCAGAUUUAGAUGGAGAUCAUAAAUACAUGAUCUUGCUGGAGCCGCUCCUUCCAUACAUGGCUAGCUGCACCGUCGGGGCGGCCGACAUGAUCCAGCGGACAUGAUGAUCCACGGAGAUCAAGAUGCUAUGUAAAUAUACCCAUCAUGAUGGCCGGCGAUUCCCCUUGGAUGAACGACUGGGGUGAUCUAGCUGAUGUGAAGAUCCACACAUAGCAAGAUGUAUAUAUGUUUGGCCAGCGGCAGAAGGUUCCUUGAUUCUUUACACCAUCAGACAAAUCAGAUCAAGUCCUUUGUGGAGGUCUGCAACAUCAGAUAAACAGAUAUUGCACACGCCCAGGUGAUCUAGCUAGGCACCGGUAACUACAUAAAAGGUGAACAUUGCAGCUGUAUCACAACUUGAUCUUGAUUAGGUCGGGAAACUUUUCCGUGGAAAUCGUGGGUAAACAGAACUACAAAAGCUUGGCGGUAGAGAAAUAAUAGAACGACUUCCCUCUCAUGCUUGGACUAUGAGGUCAUGUGUGCAGACUGCUAGAAAGUUGGAGAAAUUUACAUUUAGCAGGAAGAAGGUGAAGUGCAUAUACCUUCCUAUGUACCUACACAAGCCCUGUGGUAUGUACUUCAGAUGGUAGUAUAUUUCAUUAUUUUAUGUUUAUGCUGACUUAAUUUGUGUUUAUUCCUAUGUAGUCUAUUAUUCAGAAGUUCAAUGAUUUAUACCAAUCUUAUGGACAGAAUGAUUUUUAAUAUUAAUGCCACUGUCAUUUGAAGCUUGAUACUUUGUAUGCACUCUAAUCUUCAGAAGUUGAGGUUCAUCUGCAGCUUAUACUUAGUUAGAUCUACGGGCUUCUAUGUGUAAAUUCUGGGGGAAAAAGAAUUCGGAAAGCUUGGAGCUGGAGCGCGUAGCGUGUUUUUCUUGGUGUGACGUACAUGGACAGGUUGCUGAAGAAGAUCAAAAGGGAAAUUUCACAUGGGCGAGCAAGCAGUUCGGUGUUGGUGGUCGGCCAUGGUCAUUUAAUAUCCUAGAGAAGACGGUUUCGUCGCCCUCAACGUACAGAAGAAAACGACAUGAAGUUGUGGUUUUGGCAUGAUCGCCAAUGAAACUCCUUGAGUGCAUUCUUACUGGCUGCAACGUGCUCCUCGAAAAUGGAUAGUUAACGGCAGGUUGAUGCAUGCCUAGCCACAACUGGCAAAGCUGCCAUCGUCGUUAGCAGGGCAGCAAAGUUCUUGUGGCAUCGAGACUGUAAAGAAAUGAACCAAACGUUGAGACCAGAUGCAGCCGGUUAAUAAUUUAUCAUGGUUUUUGAUUAUGUGAUCUGACAAGAUGUUCGAAAUGCUAUUUCCGCAAAUGUACUGUUGUAUGCUUAACUGUCAAUGGUGUUAUGUCUCAGGGAAGGGAUGGAUAACUUGAAGGACAAGUUUGCUGAAAAGUUUGUAACUUAUUUCCAAGACAAAGGAAGUGCAGGAAGCCUGGAACACACAUGUUAAGGGAAACUGUUGACGGCACAUGUGAUGUGACCUUCAUCACCAUCGGAUCUUGGAGUGGGUGUUAUAUGUCUUCAUUGUUGACUAUCUUCAGCAGGGUCAUGUUGAUGUUAUAGGAGAAGGCAUGGAACUCCAUUGCCAUCAACUUGCAUUAGUGCGACAACCGUACUGUUCUUAGCAGCCAGUUCCAUACGGAGAUUUGCGAAGGAGGGCAGUUGGAGCCUUGAAGUACAACAACAAGCUAGUAGGGGUGUCAUUCCAGGACUCCUCUUUGUUGGAAACACCGUGAGUUGUAUCGGGGAGAAAAGGGAGAAACGAAAUUAAGAGGAAAAAGAGAGGGCACACCAUGAGCCCUUGGCUAAAAGUUUGUGUGUGUGCGUUCGUAUGAUUUUGAUGUGGUCGUUCGUGUGGACGAAUUCCAACACUCUUGGACGCUUGGUAUCCUUGGCUCUGUGUGCAAGGACGUUGACUAGGAUGUAUUGAUGCAUGGGUACACGAGAAAGAUUGGUGAAGCAAUCUUAUUUGCAGAAAACGUACAUGUUGUCUUAUAUGUGUUAUUUUCUUAUUA